rnacentral:rRNA from 1 species
AGUGAACGCUGGCGGUAGGCCUAACACAUGCAAGUCGAACGGCAGCACAGGAGAGCUUGCUCUCUGGGUGGCGAGUGGCGGACGGGUGAGGAAUACAUCGGAAUCUACUCUGUCGUGGGGGAUAACGUAGGGAAACUUACGCUAAUACCGCAUACGACCUACGGGUGAAAGCAGGGGACCUUCGGGCCUUGCGCGAUUGAAUGAGCCGAUGUCGGAUUAGCUAGUUGGCGGGGUAAAGGCCCACCAAGGCGACGAGCCGUAGCUGGUCUGGGAGGAUGAUCAGCCACACUGGAACGGAGACACGGUCCAGACUCCUACGGGAGGCAGCAGUGGGGAAUAUUGGACAAUGGGCGCAAGCCUGAUCCAGCCAUACCGCGUGGGUGAAGAAGGCCUUCGGGUUGUAAAGCCCUUUUGUUGGGAAAGAAAUCCAGCUGGCUAAUACCCGGUUGGGAUGACGGUACCCAAAGAAUAAGCACCGGCUAACUUCGUGCCAGCCGCCGCCGUAA